rnacentral:misc_RNA from 1 species
GGUCUCUUACAUAGAAAACUGGUUCCCCCAAUCAUUCCUCAAGUUAAAGGACCAAAUGACUACAGUAACUUCGACAGCUACCCAAAGAGUUCCGAUGUCCCUCCCGACGAGACAUCAGGCUGGGACUUCGACUUCUGAGAGGCAAUCAGAAAAACUUAUCAACGGACACAGCAUUAGUGUGCUGCAUGUGAUCAGUAAGUGUUUAUAUACUGACAACUACCUGAUUGCAUCAAGGAAAUCAUUCCAGUAUCAAUGGAGGAAUGAUUAAAGCCAUAGCAAGUUAAAAGAGAGAAAAGUUCCUGGAUCUGUUUUAUGUACUCAUGUUACAGUACAGUAUUCUCCAAUCAGAUCAUGUCGAAAACACGUGGUGCUAUAUUGCUGACGUCAUCUGUACUUGUGCUAAAAAUAGAGGUGACAUCAUCGAGGAUUGAAUAUCAGUUUUUUUCUGUGAUAUUACCAUUGUUGAUAUAAACUUUAUCUCUUGUCACUUGUCGCAACAUUAAAAACAGUAUGUUUCAAUAGAUUUUUAAUUGUGAAAAUACUCGAUGCUGAUAAAUGUCAAGCAUUACUAUAAAAGUAUAAAAAGAAAAUGGAUGUAUAUAUUUUCUCUAUUUUGUCAUUAACUCUGUUUUAAUAGAUAAGUAAAUGUCAGCUAUUUCCUGACGGGCUUGACAGCCUGUGUAUCCAUUACUGUGGAUGGGUGGUGUUAGAUUUUAUACAAGUUUCAUCAUCGUAUCAGUCAGCCAACUAUUGGACAGUCGAACGCUCUUUACUAGCAUUGACUUGGAAAUAUACGUGCUCAAAAGAAUCAAAUAUUUUAUUGUUGAAACGUGGAGUCUGUUGCAUUUGUCUUCCAUUUUAUAUAGAUUUGUUAGAAUGAUCCUAAACUCUAUAGAAUCUAUCAGGCAUUCCGCCGGUCAGUGUGUUCGAUACGGCUUCGUUGUGUUUUAAUUUUUAUUUGUUUCAUCAUUGUAAUGUUGCUCGAUGGUGUAUUCGGAGUAUGUUAUAAAUAAAUUUAUCAAGGUGAACAG